rnacentral:rRNA from 1 species
UCGAUUCCCUUAGUAGCGGCGAGCGAAACGGGAAGAGCCCAAACCAACAAGCUUGCUUGUUGGGGUUGUAGGACACUCUAUACGGAGUUACAAAGGACGACAUUAGACGAAUCAUCUGGAAAGAUGAAUCAAAGAAGGUAAUAAUCCUGUAGUCGAAAAUGUUGUCUCUCUUGAGUGGAUCCUGAGUACGACGGAGCACGUGAAAUUCCGUCGGAAUCUGGGAGGACCAUCUCCUAAGGCUAAAUACUCUCUAGUGACCGAUAGUGAACCAGUACCGUGAGGGAAAGGUGAAAAGCACCCCGGAAGGGGAGUGAAAUAGAACCUGAAACCGUGUGCUUACAAGUAGUCAGAGCCCGUUAAUGGGUGAUGGCGUGCCUUUUGUAGAAUGAACCGGCGAGUUACGAUUUGAUGCAAGGUUAAGCAGUAAAUGUGGAGCCGUAGCGAAAGCGAGUCUGAAUAGGGCGUUUAGUAUUUGGUCGUAGACCCGAAACCAGGUGAUCUACCCUUGGUCAGGUUGAAGUUCAGGUAACACUGAAUGGAGGACCGAACCGACUUACGUUGAAAAGUGAGCGGAUGAACUGAGGGUAGCGGAGAAAUUCCAAUCGAACCUGGAGAUAGCUGGUUCUCUCCGAAAUAGCUUUAGGGCUAGCCUCAAGUGAUGAUUAUUGGAGGUAGAGCACUGUUUGGAC